rnacentral:misc_RNA from 1 species
GUGAAUCAUCAAAUCUUUGAACGCAAAUUGCACUCUCUUCUGAGAGUAUGCCUGUUUGAGGGUCAGCCUAAAAAAAAUCGACAUAGGGUCUGUUUCGCGGUGACAUUCGUGGGAGAUUGGGUCAUCUUAAACCUUUGGGGUGUUUAAGCGGCUUAAAAUUUUCUUUAGGAUUCCACGUACGUUGCGAAGAUUUUACUUCUUGCACACGUUUAAGGUAUCGAUCUUUAGUAGACGUGUCCGUUUCAUCGGAUAGCGUCCA